rnacentral:rRNA from 1 species
CCUACGGGUGGCAGCAGUGGGGGAUAUUGGGCAAUGGGCGCAAGCCUGACCCAGCAACGCCGCGUGAGGGAAGAAGGCUUUCGGUUUGUAAACUUCUGUUAACAGGGAAGAGUGGAAGACGGUACCUUUCGCAUGAGCCACGGCUAACUACGUUCCAGGAGCCGCGGUAAUACGUAGGUGGCAAGCGUUGUCCGGAUUUACUGGGUGUAAAGGGCGGGUAGCCGGGUUGACAAGUCAGAUGUGAAAUCCGGCGGCUUAACCGCAGAACUGCAUUUGAAACUGUUGAUCUUGAGUACUGGAGAGGCAGACGGAAUUCCUAGUGUAGCGGUGAAAUGCGGAGAUAUUAGGAGGAACACCAGUGGCGAAGGCGGUCUGCUGGACAGCAACUGACGUUGAGGCGCGAAAGCGUGGGGAGCAAACAGGAUUAGAUACCCUAGUAGUC